AACGAUAACGAUGACAAAUACCUGCUGCCAAAGAUCAAGGACAGUGCUGAGCAGAAGAGCACCGGGAAGUGGACGGCUUUCUCCGCCCUGGAAUAUGGCGUCCCCGUCACCCUCAUCAGAGAAGCCGUCUUUGCUCGAGGCUUAUCGUCUCUGAAGGAUGAAAGAAUUCAAGCAAGCAAAAAACUAAUGGGUCACCAAAAGACCCAGUCUGAAGGUGACAAGGAAUCAUUCCUGGAAGACAUUUGAAAGGCCCUCUAUGCUUCCAAGAUCAUCUCUUAUGCUCAAGGCUUUAUGCUGCGAAGACAGACACUGAGUUUGGCUGGACCCUCAAUUAUGGUGGCAUCGCCCUGAUGUGGAGAGGGGGCUGCAUCAUCAGAAGUGUGUUCCUAGGAAAGAUAAAGGAUGCCUUUGAUGGAAACCUAGAACUUCGGAACCUACUACUUGACAACUUCUUUAAAUCAGCUGUUGAAAACUGCCAGGCCUCAUGGCGGCGGGUAGUCAGCACUGGUGUCCAGGCAGGCAUCCCCGUGCCCUGCUUCACCACUGCCCUCUCCUUCUAUGACGGGUACAGACAUGAGAUGCUACCAGCCGACCUUAUCCAGGCUCAGCGGGAUUACUUUGGAGCGCAUACCUAUGAACUCUUAGCCAACCCAGGACAGUUUAUCCACACUAACUGGACGGGCCAUGGCGGCAACGUGUCCUCCUCGUCAUACAAUGCUUAACCAGACUGUUUCUGUUACCCUCCAUGAUUCCAUAGACCAGGACAUUCCACGUGCACACAGCACUGCUUACACGGCCCUUUGCCCUAUUUUCUGCUCAGAUCUCUUAAAGUAGUGUUGUAAGACAUGCCUGAAAAAGAGCUUAUUUGUAAAGUGGUUC